rnacentral:rRNA from 1 species
AUUGAACGCUGGCGGAAUGCUUUACACAUGCAAGUCGAGCGGCAGCGCGGCCUUCGGGCUGGCGGCGAGCGGCGAACGGGUGAGUAAUGCAUCGGAACAUGCCCAGUCGUGGGGGAUAACACUUCGAAAGAAGUGCUGAUACCGCAUACGUCCUGAGGGGGAAAGCGGGGGAUCGCAAGACCUCGCGCGAUUGGAGUGGCCGAUGUCAGAUUAGCUAGUUGGUGGGGUAAAGGCCUACCAAGGCGACGAUCUGUAGCUGGUCUGAGAGGAUGAUCAGCCACACUGGGACUGAGACACGGCCCAGACUCCUACGGGAGGCAGCAGUGGGGAAUUUUGGACAAUGGGGGCAACCCUGAUCCAGCCAGUCCGCGUGGGUGAAGAAGGCCUUCGGGUUGUAAAGCUCUUUCGGCAGGAACGAAACGGUGGGCUCUAACAUAGUCCGCUAAUGACGGUACCUGAAGAAGAAGCACCGGCUAACUACGU